CAGACCGACUCGCAUCUGUACCCGUGCCGAGUGCGAAAACUUCUCUCCAUCAAAAUAAGAGAACAAAGAAAGUAACUUAAGGGAUCCCAGAGCUGUGUGGCCAGCACCAUCUGUGAAAGAACAACUUGGUUUACAUCGACCGCCAUUUACAGCACAUUGUCUAUGAACAGAACUCAGCGUCUCUGAGCAGUGAGCAGAGAACCUAACCUCAACAACAGUUGUGAGCACUGCUUGUUUGCAAAUAUAGAUGUGUCCUUUGGGACAGAAAUCUGUAACCUUGGCC
rnacentral:lncRNA from 1 species